rnacentral:snRNA from 1 species
AUAUCUUUCUCGGCCUUUUGGCUAAGAUCAAGUGUAGUAUCUGUUCUUAUCAGUUUAAUAUCUGAUAUGUGGGUCAUGUGCCCACAACGAUAUUAAAUUUAUUUUUUAUGGGGAAGGGUCCAUCACAGUGGCUUGCCACUUGGGCCCUUGGGUGUCGCCUGGGCGUUGCACUACAGCCCAGACAGGCGCACCCCAA